UGGGGAAUAUUGGACAAUGGGGGAAACCCUGAUCCAGCAAUGCCGCGUGUGCGAUGAAGGCCUGCGGGUUGUAAAGCACUUUCGGUGGGGAGGAAAUGCUCAAAGCUAAUAUCUUUGAGAGCUGACGUUACCCACAGAAGAAGCACCGGCAAACUCUGUGCCAGCAGCCGCGGUAAUACAGAGGGUGCAAGCGUUAAUCGGAGUUACUGGGCGUAAAGGGCGCGUAGGCUGAUAUUUAAGUUAAUUGUGAAAUCCCUGGGCUUAACCUAGGAAUUGCAGUUAAUACUGAGUAUCUAGAGUAUGGUAGAGGAAAGUGGAAUUCUCGGUGUAGUGGUUAAAUACGUAGAUAUCGAGAAGAACACCGGUGGCGAAGGCGACUUUCUGGACCAAUACUGACGCUGAGGCGCGAAAGCGUGGGGAGCAAACAGG
rnacentral:rRNA from 1 species